GCAUUUAUUAAUAACCAUAUAUCCUUGGAGCAUAAUGUGCCCUUUAUCUUUGGUGCACAGUGUUGUUGUGUAAUAAUAUGAGUAUCAAAAUUGAUUGAAUUGACGCUUUUAUUUUGAAAUUUUAUUUUGACAGCGCAUGUUGUUUCCGCUUCCGGUACCGCGAAUACACGCUACGCGACACGGACAGUAGAUCCGUUAGAUUGAGUCAAUGAUGAUAAACUCCAUCUUUACGUUCAUCUUCCUGUCCACUAUGUAAUUCCUUCUGUCGAUUGAUCUGUGAGCCUGCAUCAACGGAUAAAUACAGAAGGAUAGUAACCAACCAGAUGUCUGCGUGUUCUCUGACUGGAACCCUGUAGUGGUCAAUGUCCUACAACAAAUCAGCAUCUCAGGGGGAGAAUCCCCAGCACAAAGUAUUGACACAAAUUACUACGACUGACUACAGAUGCAUUCAGCCGAGAGUCCCCAGCAGGUCUCCUUGGAUCAUAGUUUCGUGCGGACCCCGGUUCUGACUCCUGGCAUGGCUCUGCUGACACCUGCUGCUGCCAUCAUCAUUACUUUAAAUAUGAUUCAUAUUACUGUCAUCAUAAACCAACAUCUUUCUGCUCUCCCUCCCCACAGAAGCCUCUGUGGAUGGUGGUUGUCCCUGCAGUGGUCCUGCCGUACACCUGUUCUGCUACUUGCAAUUACUUGUAUCAUUUCUGUUAGAGAAAUUGAAUGUAUUGUACAUCUUUUACAUUGUUGAUUCUGUACACAUGACAUCCAUUGCAGUCUGUCCAUCCCGGGAGAGGGAUCCCUCCUCUGACGUUCUCCCUAAGGUUUCUUCCCUUUUUUCCCCAUUGAAGGGUUUUUUCAUAUUUUGGGGAGUUUUUCCUGUGCCGAUGUGAGGGUUUCGGGACAGAGGAUGUUGCAUGUGUACAGACUGUAAAGCCCUCUGAGGCAAAUUUGUAAUUUGCGAUUUUGGGCUAUACAAAAUAAAAUUAAUUGAAUUGAAUAAUGUUCGAGGACUCAACGUGAACAUAUCCUAAAGAUUGGUGAGGAUCGACGUUAAUAACUUUUGAAGUUAUGGGUCUUUCCUUUUCAGGCCACACCCCUUACAAAAUUCAUUGGUCCAUAACUUUAAUGAAAAAUGAGAUAUCAACAUUCUUUCAAUAAAUUUUGAUGGCAUUGAGCCAAUGAUCAUUUUGCCGAAGAUUUCGUAAGAAUCGGGCCAAGCGUCUGGGAGGAGUUUGCAAAAACGUGUUUUUCACUAAAUUCAAAAUGGCGGAAAAAAACACCAGGCGCAUUUCCAUACCAUAAUUGACUUUUUUGUAGAGUAAGGUAGGGCUUUUGCCCGACUUUCAGUCGGCUCAGGCCCUAAUUAAAGCUGCGAGCAGCGAUGAACGGGCCUUCGCCUCCCCUUGCAUGUCGGGGGGGCAGCGGUCAGCCGGACUCGCGGGUCAAAAAGAGACUAAAGAGACAAAAUAAAUCACUCUCGGGGCUGGUAUUCAAACCUCAGUGUUAUUAGUUUGCAGUGGUGGUUGUUUUAGCCUUGUUUUAAAUUGUGUGUAGUGUUAUUGUCGUUGGUCAAUCACUGUUGGCAUAAAUUCUUUUCAUGUGUUUAAAUAAAAGUGAUAUUGGACUAUACACGCAGAAGCCUCUGUCCGUCUAUGGUGUACCUCAUAUGGGACUUUUAGCCAUAAGCGUAAAUAAUCAAAUUCAGGGUCUCUCCCCUCAAAGAGAGACAUUGCUCAAAGUAUUCUAAGUGUCCAUUGGGUCACAUUUGGAUAAAAAAAACCUCAGCUAAAUGGCAUGUGAUGCAAUGUUAAUUUUGUUGACGAAAACUAUGACAAAAAAUAUCCAUUGACAACCUUUUUUCCAUGACUAAGACAAGACGAAAAUGGAUCUUAAAAAAUAAAAACUAUGACUAAAUCUAUGAUAAAUUUCAUUAACGUGACGAGACGAAAACGUUGGCGGUGACGAAGUCACAAUACUUGGACCCGUACGGCGGUUAUUAGUGUAAUGAUGAAAUCAUCCACGAACCCAGACCGCUCGGUCACUGUGGGGGCAGCAGUGGUUCUUGUGCACCGAUACGGACCGCGACGACUAUUUUAAGGAUGCGCGAGUGUGUGCAUCCUUGGUUUAGCUCAGCUGUUGGCAGGCUAAAGCCACGGAACUUCAGAGACCGAUGUGCGUAAAGACACAACCACUAAACAAUACACUAUCCUUGCGGUCCCUGUAGAUAUGCAUAUCUACUGUUCCGUUCGCAAAAACCCAUACAAAGCUGAGAACUACUUUAAGUGCCGUGGACCCCAUUCACUUCCAUAGUAGGAAAAUACUAUGGAAGUGAAUGGGGUCCAUCAACUGUCUGAUUACCAACAUUCUUCAAAAUAUCUUUCUUUUUGUUUAGCAGAAUAAAGAAAUUCAUACAGGUUUGAAACAACUUGGGGGUGAGUAAAUGAUGACACAAUCAUCAUUUUUGGGUGAACUAUCCCUUUAAAGAGCACAAACCCCUCUUUAAUAUGACACCAAACAACAUUCACCUCUAAUUGUUGAGAUACUUACCAUAAAAAUCCUCAACAAACAAAUUACUCACACAAAACGUCCUGAUAAUAUAUAUUUAACAUUUAGAGUAUUCACUUGCCGUAAUAUUGCAUAUUGAAACAUUAGAAAAUAUCUAGUUAUUUGAAUAUAUAGCUUUUAAAAUUCAAAGCGGGUUUUUAACCCCCAAAUAACAUUCGUUAGCUACCUCUUCUAACGUGUAACGUGUGGGCGAGUAAUAAUUAAAAUAAUCAAAUGGCAUCAUUUAAGGUUUUUUUCUAGAGAAGAAGGGCCGUCGGCGGCCGUUAUGAGUUUUAAAUGGUUACAUUAGAAUAUCCAAAGUUGCAAUUAAAUAAGUGAACUCAACUCUGCUAGCUACAAAAACAGUGCAAAAUAGCUUAUGCUGUGUUAUUUGACUUUAGCUAACUGAGUGGCCAUUGCAGUGACUUUUAAGUGACAAUUUGACAAAUGACAACCUGACACCAACACUCAGACUUUAUAAUAGCAACAACCGACAACGAUUAUGUUUGUUGCCUUAUUAUAAUAUUCAUUAAUUGAGGUAACUGUUAAAUGGUCAUCAUCUUUGUUGUGGCCCAGCCAGGCCCACACACACUAUCCUCAUGCACCAGCCCUGAUUAACACUCCCUCACUGUUCAUGUAGCUACCUGCUUGCUUACAGUUUCAAUGACACUCUCCUGCUCACUCUGUCCCUCCUUGACUUCAUUAUCAGACUCAGACACCUGCUGCACCUUCUCCUCUGCUUUGGGUUGCCAACCGUCCCGUAUUACCCGGGACAUCCCGAUUUAUGGGCAAUUUUGAUUUGUCCCGGCCGGGGAACAGCUCCAGUCCCGAUUUCCAAUCACAGCCUGGUAAGUCAAUGACGCGCGAAAAACUCCCGGUUGUUGUGACGCAUCAGACCAGUGUGUGCGCGGGUGAGAGCUGUCCUAUCUGUUGAAAUGAGCAGUGAGGCUGGCGCUGCAAAGAAAAAAUAGAUUGUGCAAGCCCGGCCGCCGACCGCUAGCACCCCCCGCGAAAGUGUCCCUGAUUUGGGGUUGGGAGACUUGGCAACCCUAUGUUUCUGCAACAUGUCGUCAGUUACUGUAGUAGUUUUGA